rnacentral:lncRNA from 1 species
GCUGUUGGAAUGACAAGGACGUCCCCGGGGCCAAACGAAAACAACCCCACCCCCUGCGGCGCCACCCGGCUGGGAGCGGAGAGAGACUGACGGCGGAGGCGGGGGUCAGGGCGCGGACCCGGACCCCAGCCCCAUGGGGGACAGAGUCCAAAAAAACCGGCCGGGUGGAGGAUGCAGCCGGGCGUGGUGGCUACAAGGAAGUGCCCUGGUGUUAAGAACUCAGCCUCUGAAACCCGCCGCCCAGCUUCGAGUCAGCGACGUACUUUUGUUGUCCCGGCCUUAGUAUCCCCGCUGCAAUAAGAGUGUAAGCUCCUAAAGGCAGAAAUCAAGCUGACCUAAGCAAAGACCUGAAGGAGCUAUGAGGACAUCUGGCAGAAGAGGUAAUGCUACGGGUAAGGAAUUGUACAAACACAUGAGAAAUAUCCACAGAAAGCAUAGCACCUGGCAAGAGGCUGGCCAGCGGCUAUAAACAAGUUAAGGGACUCCUCUGAGCCUCAACAUCCCAUCCCUGGAAUGGAGAGAAGGACGUCUGCCCUGCUUAUCUCAAAAGGACAUCGAUGAGAUCAUAGAAGCCCAAGCUGAGGUUACAUCUGAUGCUAAAAACUAGACGAGAAAGGGUCUGUCUGACCCUCAAGGUCAGCAAUGUGUGUGCAACUCCCCUCUCGGGGUCUGGGGACGCAGCCAUGUGUUCCAUCGCACACCAGGCUUUGGGGAUAUUGUAGGGCUCAGACCGCCGACUGCUAGUUUAUUAAAAGAGCAGCUGCCAUCCCGCCGCGCAGUGGGACAGAGAGCUGCAGCCCGGCGCAGGCUCGACCCCGCAGGGAACCGCGACCCGGGGAUAGGCAGCUCUGGACUGCACUGAUCUGGGACUCUGUCGGCUCUACAGACACACACACGCGCGCGCACACACACACACAUGCACACACGCACGCACACACACACGCACGCACAGCCGCUAGGCCUAGAGUUUAUUUUUCCAGGGGCUGGUGGGGACUCCGCUCCCGCGGCGGGCGGCGGCACUGGAAUGUUAAUUGAAACGGAGCUGGCGAGCGCGGCGCAGAUAAGCGUCGCCCAGCAGCGUCCCCGCCUGCGGCUCCCCGAAUCAGCGAUCCGGGAAGGCCCCGCCGCCUCUCUGGCCGCUGAGGGUUUUCUUUUCCACGCUGAAGGAGUGGAACGCGCGCGGAGGCAGCUCGGCGCCCGCAAACCCCCGGAGUCAGCCCCCGACGGUCUGUCCCAGAACUAAACGGUCUCCGCCACCCAAAGCCGAGAAGCUAAGAGGCCGGCUGGGGGAGGGUGACACGGAGAAAUGGAGAAGCCCACCCAGCGGUUACAUACCGGCAGAUUUUUAUUUCCUUUAACUGGUUGGUUCUUCUAAACAUUUAAUGCAAGAAAUCUCUCGGCCCGCUUCACUUUACUCUCCACCCAUGCUCUUCCCCUAACCCUGAGAAUUUUGCACAGAUUUUCGGGGUUCGCGCGGAGCGCCUCUGAAAGUGAUGGCGGACAAACCGUCAAAAAGGCCUCAGCAUAGCAAUUUAGGAAAAGAUCGUAUCAGAUCCUUAAUUCACACCAUACACUCUAAUACACUCGAAAGUAAGCAAAGAAAUUAUAACAAAUACCAGAAUAAAAUAUGGGUGAAUUCCUUUUUAACCUCAGUGUAGGAAAAGAAAGGUCUUCUCACCAUGACUCAAAUCAAGAAGCAAGUAAACAUAACACAAAUGAUUACAUUUUAUAAAAUGCAUGGUAAGAAAUCACUAUAAAAGAAGUCAAAAGACAAUUGUCAAACAGGAAGAAAAUAUUUGCAACAUAUAGCACACAUAACCAAAGUAACUGAUAUUGAGAAAACUUAAAAAUUGAAAUUGGGAGAUGGAUACAAUUUGCGUUUGUGUAUGUAUGUGUAUAUAUUUAUGUGUUUUUAAUUGUUAUGUAUAUUAUACAUGUAUAUGUAUAGAUACAUACACAUAUGUAUAUAUCCCUUAAACAUAUAAAAGGAUGUUGCACCUCACUUGUAAUUAGAGAAAUGCAAAUUAAAAACAACACUGAGAUACUGUUUCUCACCUAUCAAAUUUGUAAGAAUUAAGAGGCAUGAUCAUGCAUUCCGUUGCCCGGGCUAGCUGGGAAGCAGGCACUCCCAUACAGUACUGGUGGAAUGCAAACCUGUAGAACCUUUCUGGAGAGGAGAACUCCUAAAAAUACUAUAUGUGCAUUUAUGUUUCACCUAUGGUCCCAUUUCUUAGAAAUUUGUCUUUCGACAAAUUCAAUUGACAAUUGUCUUUUGACUCUGAAGACAUGCCUCCAACAAUAUAAAAACACAUACAAACUUAUUAUUGUAAAGUACUGGAAAACUCUAAAUACUCAUUCACAGAACAGUGGUUGAAUAAACUUUGGUACAUUCGUGCAAUGGAGUACUAGGCAACUAUAGAAAACAAUAAGGAAGACCUCUUUGGACCAAUAUGAUGUGACUGCUGAAUAUAUUGUUAAGUGAAAAAAAGGUAACGGCAAAAGAGUAUCUUCAAGAAUCAAUGAGAGCUGGGAACAGCUCAUGUUCUGGGGAGGAGGCUGUGCCGGCCAUGGGGCUUUGGGUGUGUGAUUGACUGCAGGUGUGCUUGCCUUGUGGCAGCAGAAAAAGGAUGCACCAGUGAUCAACCCGUCUCUUAAAUAUGGUAAUCAGAUCAACAUCAUAGAUUUUAAUGAUAAAAGUAUCAUUAUAAAUGAAAACGUUAUCCAUCAAGUGGAUGAAAUUAGGCACAUUAAUGCCAGUCCGGCAGACAAAGGUGAGCUGGUGACAUUCUACAAUAAAAGUUAUUGUGUCUUCUCCUGA